UGUCUUCCUUACAGUGUGCAAGCGAGGC
rnacentral:piRNA from 1 species